GACGAACGCAGGCGGCGUGCUUAACACAUGCAAGUCGAACGGUAAGGCCCUUCGGGGUACACGAGUGGCGAACGGGUGAGUAACACGUGGGUGAUCUGCCCUGCACUUCGGGAUAAGCCUGGGAAACUGGGUCCAAUACCGGAUAGGACUCCGGACUGUAUGGUCUGGGGUGGAAAGCGUUUGCGGUGUGGGAUGGGCCCGCGGCCUAUCAGCUUGUUGGUGGGGUGAUGGCCUACCAAGGCGACGACGGGUAGCCGGCCUGAGAGGGUGACCGGCAACACUGGUACUGAGAUACGGCCCAGACUCCUACGGGAGGCAGCAGUGGGGAGUAUUGCACAAUGUGCGCAAGCCUGAUGCAGCGACGCCGCGUGAGGGAUGACGGCCUUCGGGUUGUAAACCUCUUUCAGCAUCGACGAAGCGAAAGUGACGGUAGGUGCAGAAGAAGGACCGGCCAACUACGUGCCAGCCGCCGCCGUAA
rnacentral:rRNA from 1 species